AGAAGCAAAGAUGCAAUGGGGUUAGUAUAGACAAAAGGAACUAAAAUAGCAGAGAGGAAAAUUGACCAUACCACCAGAUCUGCUUUCAGACUAGUUGCCACAGUGAUCAAACAAGGGGAAAAAUUACAUGGUUUCUCCCUUCAACAAGCAUAGGUAAGUAGAAUUCCACCUUUCUCAUCAUCACAAGUGAAAUUUGUUGACUGAUUGCCACCAAAGGACAAAUAAAUAAAGGAGCCCAGGAAAUGACAACAGCCUCCAGACCAUCUGUCCUGCUUCCAGAUCAACCCUCAAAAUCAUCUGCCAGAGAAACAGCUCUUGUGGAGAAGCAACCAGCAUUUCUUGCCAACUGCCAACCAACUGCCACUCACAAGGAAGUCAAGCCAGCCUACUGAAGCAGCUUGGCUCCCCGAGGGGGAGAGAAAGGAGGCAGUAUGGGUCACACCAUCACCACUACUUCCAUCUUGACCACCACGUCUCCUCAAACUCUAAUGGAGACUGACAACCUAGGAGCCUGAAUCCAAGAGCCCAGUGCCCACAAGCAUCUUCCUGGGAAGCAAUCCACAUGGAAGUACAACCUGGAAACUGCUUCUGGGCUGUGCCUUAUAUUUUCCUUUCUGGAUCCAAUUCUCCAUCUAAGAAAUAGCAGCAUGUUCUCUAUCAAGAACCAAGCUUUCAGGAACUGAUAGAUAUGCAUUGGAGACUGUCAGCAUCUUGAACAAAGCUGCUUUUAUCUGCCAUCAAGAUAUUGAAGAAGUUUACCUGCAUUAUUGAAACCUAUGGGAACAAUCAUUGAGAUGUUAAUCAAGAUGGACAAAGCUUCUUCUCCUAAAGGAAUUUUCAGUCUUUUUUUCUACCUUUUAUUCAAGAUCAAGUUUACUAAAUAAGCUGCCUUAAAUUCUGCUUAAAUUACCUAUAGAAAAUGUGACUUUCUCAUUGAUAUCUUGUAAAACUUAAUAGUUUCUUUGUUACUCAUGUCAGUAUUCAAAGGCUGGAAUUUAGAUAUCAUAACACUUUGCUAUAAAUUAAUAAUACAUUGGUAUUAAGAACUACCUGGCAGAUUUAGUUACACUAAGUUAAUUCUAAUUGACUUUAAGGAAUAGCACACGUUUACUAUGGUUCUUCAAUACUUUUAAAAGUUAAAUUAUAUAUUUUCCAAUAAUGACUCAUGAUUUGGAAUAUUUUAUACAUUUAUUUAUAGUUUAAAUUUAUUCCCUUGAAACUGGUCUGCUCAUAACUAAUUAUUGAUUAUCUAGGGAGGAGUGUUUAUGCUUAUAAAUUUCAAUCAAAUCCUUCUAUAUCUUUGAAAUGAGACUUUUUUAAUCAGAGAAACUUGGCAACAAGAUUUUUCCCAGUUAACUAUUACCCUUCCAUAUUACCAUAUUAGUUCUGUUUAUGACAAAUUAAUAUAUACAUAUAUACUUAUGUGUUUGCACAUAUAUAUUAAUUUCAUUAUAAUCAAAAUUGUCCCUUCCUCUACUAUUUGCCUCUAUCACUUAUUUGGUCAGAAAAGUUGCCACUUGGUAAUUCAUUCCUUCAUGAUCAAACUUUAUGUGACCUAUUACGUCUAGAUCAUGCUUACUUUACAUUUUAGUUUAUUUUGCUAUAUGGUACAAGGUGUUGGUCUAACCCGACUGUUAUAUGGGUUUCCUAAAUUUUUUUAGAUCAACUAGUAAGUCUAUAUCACCAUAAAAGACUUGAGGUCUUCAAGUUUAUCAAACACUAGAUUAACACAUUCAUCUGCUUCUUAGUUUGGUCUCCUAAUCUAUUCUACAGAUAGAACUCUCUACUUUUUAUUUUAAUAAUACUGUGUAUAUAAAUAUAUAAUAAAUUCAAAAAAAUUUCCCAAUAUCCUUCAGAGGCAAUGGUUAAUGGCAGAAUUUUGUCUAAAAGGUACAAAUAAGAUAGAUCUAUUACUGUCAUCUUAAAUUUAAUAUUUACUUUUAAAAGGAGUUCACAAUCCAUAUAAAUACUAUCUCUUUACAUAUGGAAAAGUCUGUGACUGUUAUUGUUAAAUCCAUAAUAAAAAGGAUUUAAAUGAUAAAUGAAUAUAAACUUAUUGAUCAAUGCUUAUAAAAGAACAUGUCAAAAAUAUGAGCAGUGUCCUCUCAGAGAGGAAUGAUGGAUGGAUAAAAAUAUUUACAAGUUUACUUUGAGAAUUGCUUAGGAAUUACCAUAUAAAGGUCUUUUAAUGAUGUAACUGUAUAAAGGACAACAAAUAAAAAUAUAGAAGAUUCACAAAAAUUCUCAUAACAAAUUCUUUUUGUCACUUAGGAUUAGGGUUAGGAUUUUAUCAAUACUUCAGCAUCAAUAUUCCACAUGUGCCUGCUGGUGAAGCAGACAUAAUU